AUUGAACGCUGGCGGCGUGCCUAACACAUGCAAGUCGAGCGGUAACAGGUGUAGCAAUACAUGCUGACGAGCGGCGAACGGGUGAGUAAUGCUUCGGAAUCUACCCAAUGGUGGGGAAUAACCAGCCGAAAGGUUGGCUAAUACCGCAUACGUCCCACGGGAGAAAGCAGGGGAUCGCAAGACCUUGCGCCAAUGGAUGAGCCGAAGUCGGAUUAGCUAGUUGGAGGGUAACGGCCUACCAAGGCGACGAUCCGUAGCUGGUCUGAGAGGACGAC
rnacentral:rRNA from 1 species